rnacentral:snoRNA from 1 species
ACGGCCCUACCUGAACAGCAUCUGUUCUAUUGGCUUGUAAUACGAUAUCCUUGAGUUCUGAGGAAACAUGAAAGUAGGAUACCAAGUCUAGUUGAUGAAGCAUGGUCAUGUGACUAGAGCGUGAUUCACAGCCUCCUAGUUGUGUGGGGCAGUAGUUUCUGUCUCAUCUGCUAACAUGGAGAUUUUUAAUGUUUUAUAGGUG